rnacentral:tRNA from 2 species
GAUGGGGUGGCAGAGUUUAAUGCGGCAAGUUUAAGCCUUGUGUAUGAAGUUUUAACUUCCCUUAUUU